UAGACGCUACUUCCCACUCAACUGCAGAUUUAUCUCUUAGAGCCCUUCCCACUGUCACAAGUGCUAUAGGCAAGCCUUGGCAUUCUCUCGCAACCUCCCUUGCCACUGUGUUCAAGGUAGAGUCCCAUCACGUAAACCUGCAUUGAUUCUGAAUAAAUCCCAUGCUUCUUUUUCAGGUAAGACUCUAAAAACACUUUUUGCUGGCACUCCAUAGAAGAACAUAUGCCUUGAAGACGUGUUGUUAGAAGAAUUUUACAACCCCUGUGAUCAUCACCAAAUGGGAUCCCUAUCUCUUUCAAGUCAAUAUGUUUCCAAACAUCAUCCAGGAUAUAAGCAUCUUCUCCACUGCUUCAGUCUCUGCCAUAAUCGAUCUGCUCUCCCUUCUUUACUCUUUUCUUUAAUAUCAGACCUAACUUAUCUGCCAUUCGAUCCUGGAUGUCUGUGACAUUUGGAUUCUGGGACACCGUAGCCAUCAAAACUUCAUCAAAAGCUGCAACUCUUUGGCUCUCCUGCCUACUUCUUUCACCAGGGUGGUUUUACCCACCCCUCCCAUGCCGUACAGUCCGAUCAUAUUGACGUUGUCAUCUUUGAGAGCUUUCAUAUCUGUUCAAAGCUUCUUUUGAGAUUCUGAGGGCGUGAAUUCCUUUGAUGGAGAAAUUCUAUGGGCUGAGGAGGAGCUUUGUGGGCCACUUUUUAAACUUUUUGCUAAUUUCUCAAGUUUUCUGAAAGUCUCCGACUUCUUGGCCAGUGCCUUGCUUAACUUGAAUUGUCGCAUGCAGUUUGGACACCAAGUAAAGCAUUUGCCAUUUUUUCCUAUUUCAUUUUCCAAGGGCUUCACACCUUCAAUUUCGUUGUUUGCAUCUUCCAGCCACUUUUUGACACCUUUCUUAAUUUCUUCAGCAUUCCUUUCAGCAGCUUCGACAUCUUUUUGCAGACCAUCUAGUGCUAAAGCAAGGUUCUCCUUUCGUUCUUUGAAUUCUUCAACAAAAUUGUUGAAACAGAACAUGUAACGGAACUGCCUUCCUACUGGUUCCACCAUGAGUUCUGCUAUAGCUAUAAUGGAUCCACCAGCACUUUCGAGAGCCAUUUUCCACAGGUCUGAAAAUCAAGAAAUAAGGAUACAGAACGUGAGAGUGAGUCACUACAAGUAAAACAGGCGCAGAGAGAAUGGGAAUAGAAUCAUUACCUUAAUUUGGGAAAAUAUGUGCGAAAGCACUGGUACUGAUUGCUCAAUGAAAUAGCGGGAGGAAGAAAAGGAGAAGGCCUUCAGCUCUGUAUGGAAUCCAGCUUCAAAAGCAACAAGGCAAGGUAUAAGUGUAACAAUAAAAAAGUUCCCAUUAAAAAUGCAUUUUGAUGACAUAAUUAAGAUAAUAUAGAGACAGUGACAAACAAAUAAUAAUAAAAAAUAUAAUGUGUAAAAGUACUCACCUAACAAAGAAAGAAACGAAUGAAAGGUUCAGGAUAAUCACGUAGACGUUUCCAUGGAUGAUACCAGCUCGUUUCCAACAACAAAUUUAAUUAACCUAAGCUAUGCUAGGUCAAUGUUCUAAAAAAAAAAAAAAAAACAGAUCAACAAGAAAAAAAUAAUUUAAAUUACAUUCCCUUUCAAACCACAAAAAAGGGACGUUGAAAUAGAAGGAGACGUUGAGAGAGGCUGAAACGGAAGAAGACAUUGAAAGAUCGGAGGAGAGUAUGAAUAUGUGAUGUCCUUUGAUUAGGAUUUUUUUAAAAAAUAUUUUAAAAAACAACUCCUUAUUGCAUGAUAAUGGGACAUAGAAGAAAGAAUUAAAAAAACCCCUCAACUCACGGCAUGCAUUAAAGGAUCGGAGAAAGAAAGGAAUGGGACAUAGAAGGAAGAAUUAAAAACACCCCUAAACUCACGGCAUGCAUUAAAGGAUCGGAGAAAGAAAGGAAUGAAGGAAUGGGACAUAAAAGGAAGAAUUAAAAAAACCCUAAACUCACGGCAUGCAUUAAAGGAUCGGAGAAAGAAAGGAAUGAAGGAAUGGGACAUAAAAGGAAGAAUUAAAAAAACCCUAAACUCACGGCAUGCAUUAAAGGAUCGGAGAAAGAAAGGAAUGGGACAUAGAAGGAAGAAUUAAAAAAACCCUAAACUCACGGCAUGCAUUAAAGGAUCGGAGAAAGAAAGGAAUGGGACAUAGAAGGAAGAAUUAAAAAAACCCUAAACUCACGGCAUGCAUUAAAGGAUCGGAGAAAGAAAGGAAUGGGACAUAGAAGGAAGAAUUAAAAAAAACCCUAAACUCACGGCAUGCAUUAAAGGAUCGGAGAAAGAAAGGAAUGGGACAUAGAAGGAAGAAUUAAAAAACCCUAAACUCACGGCAUGCAUUAAAGGAUCGGAGAAAGAAAGGAAUGGGACAUAGAAGGAAGAAUUAAAAACACCCCUAAACUCACGGCAUGCAUUAAAGGAUCGGAGAAAGAAAGGAAUGAAGGAAUGGGACAUAAAAGGAAGAAUUAAAAAAACCCUAAACUCACGGCAUGCAUUAAAGGAUCGGAGAAAGAAAGGAAUGGGACAUAGAAGGAAGAAUUAAAAAAACCCUAAACUCACGGCAUGCAUUAAAGGAUCGGAGAAAGAAAGGAAUGGGACAUAGAAGGAAGAAUUAAAAAACCCUAAACUCACGGCAUGCAUUAAAGGAUCGGAGAAAGAAAGGAAUGGGACAUAGAAGGAAGAAUUAAAAACACCCCUAAACUCACGGCAUGCAUUAAAGGAUCGGAGAAAGAAAGGAAUGAAGGAAUGGGACAUAAAAGGAAGAAUUAAAAAAACCCUAAACUCACGGCAUGCAUUAAAGGAUCGGAGAAAGAAAGGAAUGGGACAUAGAAGGAAGAAUUAAAAAAACCCUAAACUCACGGCAUGCAUUAAAGGAUCGGAGAAAGAAAGGAAUGGGACAUAGAAGGAAGAAUUAAAAAAACCCUAAACUCACGGCAUGCAUUAAAGGAUCGGAGAAAGAAAGGAAUGGACAUAGAAGGAAGAAUUAAAAAAACCCUAAACUCACGGCAUGCAUUAAAGGAUCGGAGAAAGAAAGGAAUGGGACAUAGAAGGAAGAAUUAAAAAAACCCUAAACUCACGGCAUGCAUUAAAGGAUCGGAGAAAGAAAGGAAUGGGACAUAGAAGGAAGAAUUAAAAAAACCCUAAACUCACGGCAUGCAUUAAAGGAUCGGAGAAAGAAAGGAAUGGGACAUAGAAGGAAGAAUUAAAAAAACCCUAAACUCACGGCAUGCAUUAAAGGAUCGGAGAAAGAAAGGAAUGGGACAUAGAAGGAAGAAUUAAAAAAACCCUAAACUCACGGCAUGCAUUAAAGGAUCGGAGAAAGAAAGGAAUGGGACAUAGAAGGAAGAAUUAAAAACACCCCUAAACUCACGGCAUGCAUUAAAGGAUCGGAGAAAGAAAGGAAUGAAGGAAUGGGACAUAAAAGGAAGAAUUAAAAAAACCCUAAACUCACGGCAUGCAUUAAAGGAUCGGAGAAAGAAAGGAAUGGGACAUAGAAGGAAGAAUUAAAAAAACCCUAAACUCACGGCAUGCAUUAAAGGAUCGGAGAAAGAAAGGAAUGGGACAAGAGAAGGAAGAAUUAAAAAACCCUAAACUCACGGCAUGCAUUAAAGGAUCGGAGAAAGAAAGGAAUGGGACAUAGAAGGAAGAAUUAAAAACACCCCUAAACUCACGGCAUGCAUUAAAGGAUCGGAGAAAGAAAGGAAUGAAGGAAUGGGACAUAAAAGGAAGAAUUAAAAAACCCUAAACUCACGGCAUGCAUUAAAGGAUCGGAGAAAGAAAGGAAUGGGACAUAGAAGGAAGAAUUAAAAAAACCCUAAACUCACGGCAUGCAUUAAAGGAUCGGAGAAAGAAAGGAAUGGGACAUAGAAGGAAGAAUUAAAAAAACCCUAAACUCACGGCAUGCAUUAAAGGAUCGGAGAAAGAAAGGAAUGGGACAUAGAAGGAAGAAUUAAAAAAACCCUAAACUCACGGCAUGCAUUAAAGGAUCGGAGAAAGAAAGGAAUGGGACAUAGAAGGAAGAAUUAAAAAACCCUAAACUCACGGCAUGCAUUAAAGGAUCGGAGAAAGAAAGGAAUGGGACAUAGAAGGAAGAAUUAAAAAAACCCUAAACUCACGGCAUGCAUUAAAGGAUCGGAGAAAGAAAGGAAUGGGACAUAGAAGGAAGAAUUAAAAAAACCCUAAACUCACGGCAUGCAUUAAAGGAUCGGAGAAAGAAAGGAAUGGGACAUAGAAGGAAGAAUUAAAAAAACCCUAAACUCACGGCAUGCAUUAAAGGAUCGGAGAAAGAAAGGAAUGGGACAUAGAAGGAAGAAUUAAAAACACCCCUAAACUCACGGCAUGACGAAAGAAGAAAGAAAGGAACGGGACAAAGAAGGAAGAAGGUAAGGUAACGUAGGGGGCCCUUAUUGGAGAUGAAAAUUAGUAUGAAAAAGAGGAUGAUAGAGUGAUAUGACCAUAAUUUCCCUCAAUUUUCUAGGCAAGAAAAAAGAGCCAAAACGUCAAGAACUUCAGUAGAACAAAAUAAGAGAUUAUUACUUGAAUAAUAAACAAGUAGAAAACAAUCAAUGAGAGAAAAAGACUGAUAGCUAGAAAACAAUAAACAGAACCCGCUUUCUCCUCUUUCAGUGUUCAAAAAACCAAAGAAACGUAAAAGAGGACUUUUCUAAGUCAGCUAAGUAUAUGGCUUACUAUAUUCAUAGAGAGAGGCGGAAUUUUAUAAGCCAUGCAAUAUAUAUCUUUUUUCUUGGCAACCAAACACAACCACAAGUCCAAAUGAAACAAUCUUGACGAAUUCCCACCAAACAAUUGAACUGCUGCUGUAACUGAGAUUUUCAGCUAUAUGUAAUUUUUGUGGUCCAAAGUAUAAAUAAUUUUCUUUUCGUUCAUUUUACUAACUUAAUUUCGCAUGUGGAAUAUUGAGUCUUUUGUUUUUUCAGACACGGAAUUUGAAUCCUUUAUAUAUUCUUAAAACCAAAUUUGAAUUCUAAGUUCCUAAAUAAAGGAAUAAUAAAUACUGUUUCAUGUACAAAUUCUCCUUCAAAAAACAAAUAAUAAAGUCUUCUAUGCUAAUGAAGAUUUAAUUAUAACUUAGCCUUGUAAUGUAUUAAAAUUAAUUAUUUAGUACUCAAAGUAUCAUGGAUAAUUAAACAGUCUAUUAACAGUGUCAACCACCCUCCAUUUAAUAUAUUUUUCUCUAAAAAAUGCCUUCCUUCCUAAUGAAGUUUCCCGAACUGCAUACUUUUCUUUUCCUUAUUCUAUUUUUCAAGAAUGAAGAAAAACAAUAUUAAUUGAAAAAGAACUAAUUAAACUAUAUGUCACUUUAAAAAUAUAAGAAUUAAACAUAUAGUUAUUGAAACUAUGGGAUUAAUUCAUUAUUGUUAUCAAAUUAUAAAGACUAAAGUAUAAUUGGUAAAGUGUUUGCGUGGAGGCCUGUUUGCAAAUACCAUUCUGCAACUGUGGUGCAAUUCCCUUUCGGUCAACCUUCCCACCAAAGUUUUUACAGAAAUGUUGGAUUGUGUUGAGGUUCUUGACCAUGCUUGCGUCCAAUUCCUUCAGGAUGAGUCGUUGUUUGCCCCCCAAUUGUUUUUCUUUUUUUUUUUCAAUUUGUUUUUUGUUUUGAAAGUUUUGAUGAAAACCGGAUAUUUUAAUACCGGAUUUGUAUUUUUAUGACAUAAAAUAUAGACCGAUAUUAAGCAAAAAAAAACAUAAAUCAAAAGGUAGGGAGAUCACAAAUAUUGAAAAUAUUUUUUUCUUUUAAUUUUUUUCGGGGGGGGGGGGGGGGGCAUUCAUUCCUCACCUUUUUAUUUUAAUGCUGAAUGUUUUUGAAAUUUAAAAUUUAAAAUGGUUCUGGAAUGUUUUUGAAAUUUUUUUAAGAUAAAAAAAAAAGAGCUUACUAGUGAAAUAUCAAAACAAAAAAGAAUAAAAUAAAAGAGAUUGGGCUGGCUGGGCAUGAGGUCCAGGUCAAGCCCGCUCUCAGUUUUCUAGAUUGGAUCUAGCCCGGUUACUAGUCCAAGCUAGAGACCUGGCUGGUCAAUACGUGCUGCACAGUGUGAAAGUAAUUAUAAUUACGUUCGCAAUGUGUAAUAUAGACUCAAAGAAUGAAACUGAAGAAGGUUACCUGGUGCUGCCUGGAACGACGCCGAAGAUGAUGGUGUAUUGGACGAUGCUCUCUCUGUUCCUCUUUUCGUUUGUUUUCCCUCUGGUUGUUCUUUUCCUUGACUCUGUUUUCUCUGUUCGUGCUCUCUGGUCCCUCUCCCUCUUCUUUUCUGUCCCUGUUCCUGUUUUGUUUGCUUCUCUCUCAACUUGUUUUUUUUUCCCUUGGUUUGCUUCACUCAUGUUCAGUAUAAUUUCCUGCCUUACCCAAAUGAUAUUUUAUUUGUUUCCCUCCCUGCAGCAAAAGGACAAGUAUUUAGUUUGUGACGCAAAUUAUGCCAACCAUGAUGGAAUGAAGGCAGUAAAGAGAUAUCCAGGAUCGACUGGCAGAUAAGUUAGGUCUGGAUAUUAAAGAAAAGAGUAAAGAAGGGAGAGCAGAUCGAUUAUGGCAGAGACUGAAGCAAGUGGAGAAGAUGCUUAUUAUCCUGGAUGAUGUUUGGAAACAUAUUGACUUGAAUUAUGCAUAUUCACACACAUGAUCAACACCAACGAUUGAAGUUUCGUUGAGAGUUCAAGUGAUUUCAAUGAUAAACACCCUCCCUUCAGAGACAAAACUUCAAUUUCUUUCAUCCCUUCAAAGAACCUCUCUGGAACAUUCAUACCAUAAUCCACUUCUAAUAAUAGAACUUUCAGCUGUAGACAUACCAAUCCUUCAGGAAGUUCUGCUAGUUUAGUGCCCAUUAACGAAAUUGUUGUACAACCUUCAAAGCUUUUAUUGCUCAUUGGCCACUCCUUCAACCCAAUGCCAGCCUUUACCAUGAAUCCAUAUUCUUCUGAUGAUGCUAUCUGAAUAGCAAAGUCACGAACCACGUCAUGCAUUCUCACAUGUUCUUCAGUUUCAGUGCCCAACAACAAACAACAAGCUUUGAGGUCUUUGAUUGCCUCAUGAACUUGUUCCCUUGCAUCUUCAAUGGGCUCUCCAUCUCUAUGUAACCCAUAGCCAACUGCAUAUCUCGUCAAGUACUCGACUGGAAUGUUGUAAUCUUCUGGAAAUAAACAGCAUAGCAAGAAACAUAACUUGGUUUCCGUGCUUCAAAUAAUCAUAGCUCAACUUAAGACAUGCAUAUGCAUUUUUUUCUUCAAUUUGUUCCAUGUCCGAAAUUGAGAGUUUUUGAGCUGUUUAGACACUCUUCCCACUGAUUCAGAUUUAUCUCUUAGAGCCCUUCCCACUGUCACAAGUGCUAUAGGCAAGCCUUGCAUUCUCUCGCAACCUCCCUUGCCACUGUGUUCAAGGUAGAGUCCCCAUCAUCUAAACCUGCAUUGAUUCUGAAUAAAUCCCAUGCUUCUUCUUCAGAAAAGAGACCUAAAAACACUUUGCUGGCACACCAUAUAAGAACACAUGUCUCGACGACGUGUUGUUAGAAGAAUUUUACAACCCCUGUGAUCAUCACCAAAUGGGAUCCCUAUCUCUUUCAAGUCAAUAUGUUUCCAAACAUCAUCCAGGAUUAUAAGCAUCUUCCC
rnacentral:lncRNA from 1 species